UUAUUGUGUUUCUUGUCUGCAGACCAGGUAUGCCGGUGAUUAUUGACGCUGGCUUUUACCGGGGGCAGAGAGGUAGUGUACAAUUUCACUAGUGAUUAUUUAUCCCACUAAUAGUUAACCAAGAGUGUAUUAUUUCUCUUGUGAAAUUUUAUCCGGGGCUAAAUCAUUUUACCGGGAGAAGACGUAAAAUAUUAAGGUGGUCCAUUCUCGCGGUUAUAACGGUGCAGCCAGCGCAUUUUUUGACUCAAAAAUACGGUUUAUACG